rnacentral:rRNA from 1 species
CAGUCGCCACGGUAAUACGGAGGGAGCUAGCGUUAUUCGGAAUUACUGGGCGUAAAGCGCACGUAGGCGGCUUUGUAAGUAAGAGGUGAAAGCCCAGAGCUCAACUCUGGAAUUGCCUUUUAGACUGCAUCGCUUGAAUCAUGGAGAGGUCAGUGGAAUUCCGAGUGUAGAGGUGAAAUUCGUAGAUAUUCGGAAGAACACCAGUGGCGAAGGCGGCUGACUGGACAUGUAUUGACGCUGAGGUGCGAAAGCGUGGGGAGCAAACAGGAUUAGAUACCCGAGUAGUCCCUGUCUCUUAUAC